AAUGAAAUAAGAGCAUUCAUAAAAUAACUAUAUUCACAACUGCAAAAGCAUAUUAGAUAGUAAAGUAAGAUAAAAUAAGCUAAAGCAAAUAUGUAAAGUGCAAGCACAGCCAUAAAAUAAAAUAAACCACAACUAUUACCAAAGUUUGAAAUUUAACAAAAAAAUUACAAAAUUAAACCCAAGACAUAAACUAACACAGAAAUUAAAACUAAGUCUGGAGCGAUAUUGGAUAUGGGUAAGACAGGUAGAUCGACUGAAGCUUGAGCCGUUGGGACCCAGUGCUUUUUGUGGAUAAGUUAGGGUGAGUACGGCUUUGAGUUGAUUUUGCUAACCACCGCAUUUGGAUUAUUAAAAAAAA
rnacentral:misc_RNA from 1 species